GAAGGAAAUUGAGGCCAAGCUGGAUGCCCUGGUUAAAUCCUUGCCAAGACCCCAGGAUUCUCAUAUUGUCCUGGCUGAUGAGUCCGGCAGCACAGAACACCGGCAGGGCAGUAUUACAGCUGUGCCCAGAGUACCAGCGCCACCUGCACAACCCAGAGCAAAGGACACAAA